AGGAAGACCGAGGAGAAGAGAGAAGAGAAAGGAAUAAGGAGAGGAGGAACAAAAUGAAAGAAGGACCUCCCUGAUGUAGGUUGAGUAGAAUAAACAUGUGGAGCUUGGUGCAUUUCAAACUGGGCUCUCUUGCUCUGAUCCAGCAUUAGCAAGAAUACUGUUCCACGCUGGUUUUGUCGAAUACCCAGUGACUGGAAGUAGCAGUGUGGGCACCAGCAAGUCAAAAGCUGGAUUGAUCCCGGCAGUCCACCAUUGGCAGCCGUGCCUUCAGCUGCAAUGGACU